rnacentral:rRNA from 1 species
CCAGACUCCUACGGGAGGCAGCAGUGGGGGAUAUUGCACAAUGGGGGGAACCCUGAUGCAGCGACGCCGCGUGGGUGAAGAAGCGCCUCGGCGCGUAAAGCCCUGUCAGCAGGGAAGAAAAUGACGGUACCUGAAGAAGAAGCCCCGGCUAACUACGUGCCAGCAGCCGCGGUAAUACGUAGGGGGCAAGCGUUAUCCGGAUUUACUGGGUGUAAAGGGGGCGCAGACGGCGAUGCAAGCCAGGAGUGAAAGCCCGGGGCCCAACCCCGGGACUGCUCUUGGAACUGCGUGGCUGGAGUGCAGGAGAGGUAAGUGGAAUUCCUAGUGUAGCGGUGAAAUGCGUAGAUAUUAGGAGGAACACCAGUGGUGAAGGCGGAUUGCUGGACAGUAACUGACGCUGAGGCGCGAAAGCGUGGGGAGCAAACAGGAUUAGAUACCCCAGUAUUG